GGAAGAACAUUGCAGUUAAUGAAGCAUCUCGUCUGACUGUUUACUGAUAAACCUGCUCCCUUUCAGAUCCUCCAAGCCGAUCUCCUCCUCCGUGGGACGAGAAAGGCCGGGACCCAGCUGCCGAUAUGGACCUGAGGACCUUGAGGUUGUAAUAAUUGAUGAUCAGUUGAAAUUCACAGACCACAUUGCUAGAACUGCCCGGUCCUGCAGAUUUGCCUUGCACAACAUUAGGAGGAUCAGGCCCUUCCUUACAGAGCAUGCUACACAACUCCUUGUCCAAGCACUUGUUUUUAUCCAGACUGGACUAUUGUAAUGCUCUCCUGGCUGGUCUUCCAGCUUGCUCUGUCAAACCUCUAUUGAUCCAGAAUGCUGCAGCCAGAGUAGUCUUUAAUGAGCCAAAGAGAGCACUCGUGAACAAACGAGACAGUGCCAAGACUCGGAACAUUUAGCGAACAUGAUCGGGUCAAAAAAGCUUAAAUAUUUUUGGUUUUGGCCCCAACUUUAUUCAACUUUUUUCAGAAGUUCAGGAAAACUUGAUUUAAAGUUUGGAGAAUUAUGAGCAUGGUUUGCUAAAUUGGGAAUGUUUUUUGGAGUUGCAAUAUUGAAAGGGGCUUAUUAUUCUGUUAUGUCUUUUUAAUCAAAUAUGUCAUUGCAGUACACAUUUAAUUGCAACUGGUCUCUGUCUGAAAGGAGUCAUUUAAAAAUUCAAGCACAAACCUAAUAAACUAGCAUAUAAUCUUGCUCUGCAUAAAGCAAUAUUGAUUUUAUAUUGUUUCUUGAUUUAUAUUGUUUUUCUUAUGCAGUUUUCAGCUUUAAUUUGAAUCAUUUCCAUUCAAAUUGUAAUACUAACAUAUCAUUAAUAUUGUUCAGUUGAAUAUCAGCAAAUGAUUUAAUUCAUAAUAAUUUUCAAUUACAGUUACAUUACAUUUACUAUAGACAUUGUCUAAAAUAACAUUUAGUGUUAAUUUAAUGAAAUUUAGUGAUUUAAUGUACUUCAAUAAUAAAAAUUGUCUUUAUAAAUAUAUUGUUCAAUUACAUGCUUUUGUAAAUUUGUUCAAAUAAAUAAUGUUCAGUGAAAUCAGUGAAGGUCGCCUACUUUAACCCUUACAUUAUUUAUGAAUAUUGAUGUUGAGUGUCUAUGAUCAGUAAAAUGGUUCAAGGUACUUUUCAGAACUAGAUUAAACCUUAAACUAAGUUGUGCUGUUUUGAUAUUCAUAAAUAUGGAAAAAAAUGGUUUAACUGUAUUUGUAUACUUGGCAAAUCUGGGAAGAAACCACACUGAGUUUGUGUGUAACAGUUCACACACUGAAAACCACUUGUGUAUUUCUUUAAAGUGGAGCCUAAUUAAUUUCAUUGAAAAAAAAAAAA